UACGAAGGGGGCUAGCGUUGUUCGGAAUUACUGGGCGUAAAGCGCACGUAGGCGGUCUUGUCAGUCAGAAGUGAAAGCCCUGGGCUCAACCCGGGAACUGCUUUUGAUACUGCAAGGCUUGAAUCCUGGAGAGGGUAGUGGAAUUCCCAGUGUAGAGGUGAAAUUCGUAGAUAUUGGGAAGAACACCAGUGGCGAAGGCGACUACCUGGCCAGGCAUUGACGCUGAGGUGCGAAAGCGUGGGGAGCAAACAGG
rnacentral:rRNA from 1 species